UACAGAGGUCUCAAGCGUUGUUCGGAUUCAUUGGGCGUAAAGGGUGCGUAGGCGGCGCGGUAAGUCGGGUGUGAAAUCUCGGAGCUUAACUUCGAAACUGCAUUCGAUACUGCCGUGCUUGAGGACUGGAGAGGAGACUGGAAUUUACGGUGUAGCGGUGAAAUGCGUAGAUAUCGGGAGGAACACCAGUGGCGAAGGCGGUGCUCUGGGCCGGAACUGACGCUGAGGAGCGAAAGCGUGGGUAGCAAACAGG
rnacentral:rRNA from 1 species